CUGUGAUUCUGUGAUUCAGUGAUUAAAGUGAUUCAGUGAUUAAAUGAGACUGCUGGGGGCUGCAUAAAAUGGCGGGAGGAACUCUUACCAAAGCGUAUGGAGAACCUUAUUUGCUAGUUUGUCCUCAAGCAAGGCAGUGGCACAGUGGUUUCCCAUGGAUGAGGGAAGGUAGAAGUAAUCGUGAGCAACAGUACCCAAACCAUUAAAGAAAAAAAUUUGUUUAACUUGAGAUCAUGGCAUCCAAAUACCCAACAGCCGGAAGGAGGUUUUUUUUCUCAGAAGAGGUCUUUUGGCUUCUGAUGAGCUAACCCAGUUUCCAAGUGGGUUUCCUAAGAAGAGUACUCGGUAUAUGAGCAACCAGACAGCCCUGUUACUGCUGUUUGCUAAGGAACUCCACAUAUUUGAGGAUACAUAUUUGAAACCCUUUCUAAUGGAAGGACAGUCGUGCCACUCAGACCACACAGGAUAGUGACUAUAAUAGUGAAUAUAAUGUCAUCCUGCUGACAGAACUUGAUAACCCUUAAGCAUGUGUUUGGGUACAGAACAAUUUCCUAUGAACUUAGAAGUUAUCAUUCAUCUAACUUUUGUGAAAAAAUAAAUUAAAAAAAAAAAAAUCUUUAAAGGAUAUAAAGAACUCUAAAAGUGUGUGCUUAUUUCUGGUGGAAACUGAUGAGACCAUGAGAAACAGAGUAGUGCUUGAAUUCAAUAGCUGAACUUCUCCAGGAAAUUAUAUUUACCUAAGAUAGUUAUGGGUUCCAGUAAUUCUUGUGCUCACCAAAUGAGCCCUAAGCUCAUGAUUUUAGUGAAAUAGAAAAAUAUGUCCAGAGCAGUGGUAGCCGAAGAAAAAUUGUAAUAUUGUUACAGACAGAAACUUGAAGGAAUCAGGAACAUCCGUUAAUAUGUUCAGGCAAACACUAUUAAGACUGUUCAAACAAUGUCAUAUCUCUCCAUCUACCCCAAGCUUUCUUUUGGCAACUGUAUAUCUAUGUUUUACUUUAAGCCUCGCUAUAUGCAUUGUAAAGCCAUAGGUGACACCUUUUGAAUAUGUCUUUAGUAAUGUGUAUUUUUACUGAAGUCACAACGAAAACAAACUAAAAUUGUCCUUCAUAGCAGUGGAUUAUGCAGAGACUGUAGUAUUUGGGAACAAAAAAGUUGUAGGCUUUUUUGAGUUCUUCAUUGCCUGCCUUUGUGAAAAGUAUCUAGCCUACUUUUCCUUCUUCCUUUCCUCUUCUUCAGCAUUCAAAAAAUAAAAAUCUAGUCAUCGAGAGAGGCCAGUGCAUACAUAAAAACUUGUUGGCUGAGCCUUAGUCUGCAUGAGAAAGAUGAAAAGAUGGCUGGAAGGGAAAUUAACCAAUGUAUAUGGUAUUGGUUUAAGAAACGUGUCUUGAAGGAGCAUGAUACAGCCUAAAGCUGGAGUACCUCUUCAACAGCUGAAAUUGGCAUGAGGAGGUUUGAGAUAAGGCAAAAAUAUCCUCCAGCUGCUAUACAGAAAGUAUAGAGUCAACUGCUGUGGUGAAGCUGCUAACGUUCAGACUGAUGAUGUCCGUCUCUCUUCUGGAGAAUCAGUCAGUAAGGCCAAGGUGAACAAGAAAGUUGCCUGCUCUAGUCAGUGAUUCAGCUGGGACAAGACAAGAUCAGGAAUCUGCAACCGGUUUCCGGAGUCUUUCUUUUUCUUUUCUUUUCUUUUCUUUUCUUUUCUUUUCUUUUCUUUUCUUUUCUUUUCUUUUCUUUUCUUUUCUUUUCUUUUCUUCUCUUCUCUUCUCUUCUCUUCUCUUCUCUUCUCUUCUCUUCUCUUCUCUUCUCUUCUCUUCUCUUCUCUUCCCUCUUUUUUUUCUUCCUUUUUUACUUUUUUUCCUUUCUGUUUCCAGAAUAGGAAAACUAUAGUAAUGUUCUGGUUCUAAAAUAUAAGUGGAUUUAAAAACAAAAACAAAACAAAACAAAACAAAACAAAACAAAACAUAAUAGAUAAGAUAGCAAACAAGCUAAACAGCAAAUGCUAACUAGAAAAGUGAUGCACAUUGAGAAAUAAUUGCACAGGAAUGUGCAAAGUCAAAAGGAAGGUUCAGAGAGAGGUAACAGGCCAGCUCUAAGGAUGCUCUAGUUACUAGAGUGUGCCUGGUCUUGAAAUCAAAAGGUGACAUGACUUAUUUGGCAGAUUAGCUAUAAAAAGGACAACAGACGACAGACAACUCUUGACAUUUCACUAGAUAUGUUAAAAGUUUAAACUGUUUUUCAUUUCUCAUCUACAACAUGUUAUUACCUUAUAAAGUGUUCUUUUCACUUGCUUAAGAAACAUGUUUUUUGCCAAAAUACUGGAGACUGCCUCAAUUCUGUGUUUAUCAUAUAAAAUAUCAUCAUUCACAUUUGUUUUGAUUUUACAUUUGCAUAGCAACAGGACACCAUUAUCCAGCAAUAGGAGACCAUUAUCCUGUAACAGUACUGUGGGUCCUUCAAGGUAUAUGGCAGAUCAGACUACUCCAGCUGAUACAGUUACUUUUGCUGCAUCUGUCUGUACAGAGUAAUUGCCAGCAGAAAUAAUUCAUGUAAAUCCCAUGCGUGCAAGAGAAAGGACAUAAUGUCUCCUGAUAGCAUACAGGAGAAUGGCAUUUGACCUCUUUCAUAUUGAAUCACAGGAAAGAAUAAAAAUAUGGGAAACAAUCAAAAUAUCAGAGCAGUGAGCUGUGCAACCACAGGAUAUUAGCUAGUGCCAGGGACCACAUUUUGCUGUCACAAAUGUUAAAAGACUGACAUUUUCAACACCAAAUAUAAAAGCUACUGGAGCUGAGGCAUUUGCCAAAAGACUUUUGCAAAUAACAUUGCUAAACCAUUCUAAAUUCAGUCAUGAAUUAGAGGUUAAUAAAGGAGAAAAACACAGGAACUGUGCGAGCACAUAGCAGGGCUGAGAGCCACUUCUCUCUUCCUGCUGUGUUUACUGACAAGGCAGCACUGGAAUAUGAAGUCAGGAAGCAUUGUGGUGGGCACACACUGCCUCAUCUCAGAUUAGUGUGCCUAAUACAAGUCAAGCCAAGUUCAGUGAAAGUUUUCUAACUAUUUGCAAUGGACAUGGGAUCAUUCUUUAGUAUCUUUCAGCUCUUCUCAGGAUGGAGCAAACAUGAUGCCAGUAAGUGCCCAUGACAAAACAGACACUUCCCCAAAUUCCAUGAGAUUUCCUAUUAAAUGUCUAGGUUCUUCUAAUGGAUGAACCAAGGUGACAUAUUAGCAUGACAGCAGAGCUUAAAAGCUCUAAGAGAUCACUAUGCUUGGAACACAGUGCCAGCAUGGAUUUUUAGCAGGAAAUGCAAAGGACAAAGCUUUUAACUUUCUCCAUCUUGGUAUUCCUGCCUAGCACUGGUUGGUGCUGCAUAUGUUCCUGCACCACACAAUGCAGCUGUACAGCUACCACACAACCUGUUGCCAUAGCCUCCUCUGAGCACAGCUUUCCUUUCUUUACUUUACUUACAAUUUAGAUAGACAAAGCAAUGGUUGAGAGGAGAAAUGGAGACAUGGAGGUAUAAAAUGUCUUACCAAAGUCUCCUAACCCUUGUAAUUCUUCCUUUGUCUAAUAUAUUUCUUCUUGCAUUUUGUGGUUCUUUACAGACAGAAAAAAUGUCCCCAGAUAGCAUUGUGCCACAGCAGUUCUCUAUGCCAUGUUGUCAGGUUGAGAAGUGACAUAUACUUAUGGUUUAUAGGGAAGGAACAUAUGCCCAAUAUGUUUUGAAUGCAAAUACAAGCAUACACACAAUAUCCACAAUUAAUGAAAUUAGGUUAAGAAGAACAAACACGGAGAAUAUACACAAAUCAAAUGCAAUCCAACUGCUACCUAGUUCAAAAAUCUGUGGUGUGCUGCGGAAGAAGACAAGAAGAAUGGGAAAAAAUGAGGGACAAAUGGCUGAGAAAUGCUCAGACUCCUGUCGUCAUUAACUACGUGGAGUCUUGUAAUGGUGCAGGAAAAGUGUUAGAAAGCAAAAUUAUACAACAUGGGAGCUGGGGAUGGGUAGAAUGACUGGAGAAUGUGGGUAAGGAAAGUAAAAUGAUGACAUGAAGAAAAAAAUUGUCAGAAAAAGUACUGAAAAAUGCU